rnacentral:rRNA from 1 species
AUUGAACGCUGGCGGCAUGCCUUACACAUGCAAGUCGAACGGUAACAGGUCUUCGGAUGCUGACGAGUGGCGAACGGGUGAGUAAUACAUCGGAACGUGCCUAGUAGUGGGGGAUAACUACUCGAAAGAGUGGCUAAUACCGCAUGAGAUCUACGGAUGAAAGCAGGGGAUCGCAAGACCUUGCGCUACUAGAGCGGCCGAUGGCAGAUUAGGUAGUUGGUGGGAUAAAAGCUUACCAAGCCGACGAUCUGUAGCUGGUCUGAGAGGACGAUCAGCCACACUGGGACUGAGACACGGCCCAGACUCCUACGGGAGGCAGCAGUGGGGAAUUUUGGACAAUGGGCGCAAGCCUGAUCCAGCAAUGCCGCGUGCAGGAUGAAGGCCUUCGGGUUGUAAACUGCUUUUGUACGGAACGAAAAAGCCUGGGUUAAUACCCUGGGGUCAUGACGGUACCGUAAGAAUAAGCACCGGCUAACUACGUGCCAGCCGCCGCCGUAA